GACGAACGCUGGCGGCGUGCUUAACACAUGCAAGUCGAACGGAAAGGCCCUGCUUUUGUGGGGUGCUCGAGUGGCGAACGGGUGAGUAACACGUGAGUAACCUGCCCUUGACUUUGGGAUAACUUCAGGAAACUGGGGCUAAUACCGGAUAGGAGCUCCUGCUGCAUGGUGGGGGUUGGAAAGUUUCGGCGGUUGGGGAUGGACUCGCGGCUUAUCAGCUUGUUGGUGGGGUAGUGGCUUACCAAGGCUUUGACGGGUAGCCGGCCUGAGAGGGUGACCGGCCACAUUGGGACUGAGAUACGGCCCAGACUCCUACGGGAGGCAGCAGUGGGGAAUAUUGCACAAUGGGCGGAAGCCUGAUGCAGCAACGCCGCGUGCGGGAUGGCGGCCUUCGGGUUGUAAACCGCUUUCGCCUGUGACGAAGCGUGAGUGACGGUAAUGGGUAAAGAAGCACCGGCUAACUACGUGCCAGCAGCCGCGGUGAUACGUAGGGUGCGAGCGUUGUCCGGAUUUAUUGGGCGUAAAGGGCUCGUAGGUGGUUGAUCGCGUCGGAAGUGUAAUCUUGGGGCUUAACCCUGAGCGUGCUUUCGAUACGGGUUGACUUGAGGAAGGUAGGGGAGAAUGGAAUCCCUGGUGGAGCGGUGGAAUGCGCAGAUAUCAGGAGGAACACCAGUGGCGAAGGCGGUUCUCUGGGCCUUUCCUGACGCUGAGGAGCGAAAGCGUGGGGAGCGAACAGGCUUAGAUACCCUGGUAGUCCACGCUGUAAACGGUGGGUACUAGGUGUGGGGUCCAUUCCACGGGUUCCGUGCCGUAGCUAACGCUUUAAGUACCCCGCCUGGGGAGUACGGCCGCAAGGCUAAAACUCAAAGGAAUUGACGGGGCCCCGCACAAGCGGCGGAGCAUGCGGAUUAAUUCGAUGCAACGCGUAGAACCUUACCUGGGUUUGACAUGGAUCGGGAGUGCUCAGAGAUGGGUGUGCCUCUUUUGGGGUCGGUUCACAGGUGGUGCAUGGCUGUCGUCAGCUCGUGUCGUGAGAUGUUGGGUUAAGUCCCGCAACGAGCGCAACCCUUGUUCACUGUUGCCAGCACGUUAUGGUGGGGACUCAGUGGAGACCGCCGGGGUCAACUCGGAGGAAGGUGGGGAUGACGUCAAGUCAUCAUGCCCCUUAUGUCCAGGGCUUCGCGCAUGCUACAAUGGCUGGUACAGAGAGUGGCGAGCCUGUGAGGGUGAGCGAAUCUCGGAAAGCCGGUCUCAGUUCGGAUUGGGGUCUGCAACUCGACCUCAUGAAGUCGGAGUCGCUAGUAAUCGCAGAUCAGCAACGCUGCGGUGAAUACGUUCCCGGGGCU
rnacentral:rRNA from 1 species